UACGUAGGGGGCAAGCGUUGUCCGGAUUUAUUGGGCGUAAAGAGCGUGUAGGCGGUCAGGUAGGUCCGUUGUGAAAACUCGAGGCUCAACCUCGAGAUGUCGGCGGAAACCGUCUGGCUAGAGUCCGGAAGAGGAGAGUGGAAUUCCUGGUGUAGCGGUGAAAUGCGCAGAUAUCAGGAAGAACACCUAUGGCGAAGGCAGCUCUCUGGGACGGUACUGACGCUGAGACGCGAAAGCGUGGGGAGCGAACAGG
rnacentral:rRNA from 1 species